ACUACAACUGGGAUGGCCGGUAAAUGGAGGAACAUACAUACAAAAUAAAAACGCGGACGAUCGUGGGGAUGUGUCACAUCUAAAUUCUAAUCAUCCAGUUUCUUCUUUCCUCUAACUCCGAAUAUUGCCUCCGUGUGUAAGGAAGAUCCAUCAAAUCAUAUUUUUUCCCCUGUGCAUUAUCCGAAUAACCUGUCAAGAUUACUUCCCAACGACCACCUCAACAAAAAAAUUAUCCUCUUGUUCCAUCCAAUUUUUUUAAUUUUGCAAGGUUAAAAAACAUGGCGGAAUCCAAAGGAGCCAACAUUGCGAGACUCGUCUCCAAACAAGCCGGAAGAGCCAAGGAAAAGAUCCUUCAAAAUCUUGGAAAAGCUGAUCGAACAACGGAUGACUAUUUUGAGGAACAUCUCAGGAACUUCAAUCUUCAACAAAAUUUCGCAAGUCGUCUCCAUAAAGACAUCUCAAAUUAUAUUCGAUGUGUUAAAGCUACACAUGCUGCCAACAAGGUUCUCAUGGAAACGCUUUAUGAUGUCUAUGAACACGAAUGGGUUGGACGGGAUGCUCUUAAUGUUCAAGCGCAAAAUUCUGAAAUGCUCUGGACAGAUUUAGUGCAUAAGCUCUCAGAUCAAGUUCUUAUACCUCUCAAUACAUAUCAAAGCCAAUUCCCGGAAAUGAGGAAAAAAAUUGACAAACGUGCAAGAAAACUGAUUGACUACGAUAAGGAAAGACAUAAUGUUCAGCAACAGCAGGCUAAUCCCAGUAGAAAUGAGGCAAAAUUUGCAAAGAGUAAAGAACAAAUGGAAAUAGCUAGACGAACCUACGAAAUUCUGAAUACUGAAUUGUUAGAUGAGCUUCCUGCAUUGUUUGACUCUAGACUUAUAUUUUUAGUUACAAAUAUGCAAACGAUAUUUGCAGCGGAGGAAGUUUUUCAUUCGGAAACUUCGAAGGUAUACACUGACUUUGAAGUAAUAGCUGAUAAACUUGCAAAAGAAGUUCAAAGAGGAACAUUGCCUAAAAAAGUAAUACCUAAACCUCAGGGUCUCACUCUUCCUCAUUCCAUCUCUGCUGCGACUACACCGACUUCUAACUCCACGAUCAGUGGUCCUCCUAAAGUUACGAACAACGGAAUAACAACGGAAAAACAAAACUCGAUUAAGGACUAUGAGGCAGUAAACAGCAACAAUAACUCCAGUAGCUCUAUUAAUAUUAAUGGUACAUCUCCUCCCAGUACAAAUGGAACACCUUCGGGGAGAUUUGCAGUACCGGAAGGUACUUUUAAGUAGUCCCUACAUUCAAAAAGUCAAGCCAUCUUUUUCCGUAUUCCUAUAAUCCUUCCAUAUUCAAUUUUUUAAAUCUUCAGUGAUUCCAUUAACCUAAUAUACUGAGCAACAACGGAAAAUUUGCCUGACGGUGUUCUUUAUAGAGUCAAAGCAAGUUAUAAGUAUCAAGCAGAAGAUGUGGAUGAAUUGACGUUUGAAGAAGGAGAAUUGAUUAAUGUUGUAGAGUAUGAAGAUCCAGAAGAACAAGAGGAAGGAUGGCUAAUGGGGUAUAAGGAUAAGGAUGGAUCCAAGGGGAUGUUUCCUGCCAA
rnacentral:misc_RNA from 1 species